AUGAAGUACUGCACAGAGGUACAGAUAAAGAUCCAGAAAGGUUGCAGGGAUGAAGAGCUAGGAAUUUUUUUGCGUUGCAGGAAUCUUGAUGAGGUUCUGAGAGAGAGGUUGAAAGGUUGUUUAUUUGGUGCAACAAGUUUUGUGACUGAUUGGAAUUUGGCGAUCGAAUUUGUACAUGGCUGUCUUAACAUGAUUCAAUUAUCUCUUGGAGCUUCGGGAAAACUUUUGAAGGGAGCAAGAGAAGGUUAA